rnacentral:rRNA from 1 species
AGUGAACGCUGGCGGCGUGCCUAAUACAUGCAAGUCGAACGGACGAGUAAGAGCUUGCUCUUAUGAGUUAGUGGCGCACGGGUGAGUAAUGUAUAGCUAAUCUGCCCUACACUAGAGGACAACAGUUGGAAACGACUGCUAAUACUCUAUACUCCUCUCUAGCAUAAGUUAGAUAGGGAAAGUUUUUCGGUGUAGGAUGAGGCUAUAUUGUAUCAGCUAGUUGGUGAGGUAAUGGCUCACCAAGGCUAUGACGCAUAACUGGUCUGAGAGGAUGAUCAGUCACACUGGAACUGAGACACGGUCCAGACUCCUACGGGAGGCAGCAGUAGGGAAUAUUGCUCAAUGGGGGAAACCCUGAAGCAGCAACGCCGCGUGGAGGAUGACACUUUUCGGAGCGUAAACUCCUUUUGUUAGGGAAGAACAAUGACGGUACCUAACGAAUAAGCACCGGCUAACUCCGUGCCAGCAGCCGCGGUAAUACGGAGGGUGCAAGCGUUACUCGGAAUCACUGGGCGUAAAGGACGCGUAGGCGGAUUAUCAAGUCUCUUGUGAAAUCCUAUGGCUUAACCAUAGAACUGCUUGGGAAACUGAUAAUCUAGAGUGAGGGAGGGGCAGAUGGAAUUGGUGGUGUAGGGGUAAAAUCCGUAGAGAUCACCAGGAAUACCCAUUGCGAAGGCGAUCUGCUGGAACUCAACUGACGCUGAUGCGUGAAAGCGUGGGGAGCAAACAGG